rnacentral:lncRNA from 1 species
GAUCGGAUUGCACUGCUCCUUAAAAAAAACAGAAAUUAAAUGAAAAAUUGAAAACUUAAACAGCUAAACCUAAUUCCCAAAUCACAAAACAACCCACCCAACCCAGCCACGCGACCUGACGCACAACGCAACCCAGCCAAACCAACCCACAACCACAAACCACACACACAGGCCACAACCUGACGCACACGGCGACUCACGCCAUCGACAACACAAACGGAACAAACCCAGCCGGAUCUUGAUCAACGUCCAGUUGCCAUUCACGACGAGCAACUGACGGCGAAAGCAACCUCGCGAUAGUUGACUUGUUCAUUGUGUAAGGUUUCUGUCUUU